UUAUUAUUUGAGUGUGUGAAAUGUGAUAAUUAUAUUUUUUUUUACACUUAUAUGCUUGAAAAUGGGAAUUUGGCACUAAAGGCAAUGUGGUAAUUGUGUAUUUUGGGUUAUGAUUCAUUAAAAGGGAAAUAUUAAGCAAAAUGAGAUUUUAUUUCUGCAUUUUACUCCAGCCCUAGCAGCCAGCCUCUCCCUCUCUCAAAAACUCAUUUGUUAGCUUUGAUUUUGUGGUGAAUUGCUUGUGGAAGAAAGCUUAGUUUUGGAGAUUUGGGGAUUUGCUCUUGCUUGGAUUUGAGGAAAGGGUAAAUCUAUCUCUGAUCAGCCAUGAGUAUGGGAGUUGGGCGAUGUAUGUACAUGUUCGUGCCACACUAGACCAAGCGGGUUGGGGUCUACCAGUGUUGAAACUUUUGUAACUCUAUUUUGCCGCUUAGGUCGGUUAAGGAGAAAAGACUUGUAAUAUUUUGUAAAAUAAUUUUUGGGAUCCCGAAAUAUGUAACUUUUGUUUGUAAGGUUAAAAUUAUUACAAGUUUAUUUUCA